CCAGUGUAUAGCAGCAGCUAACAAGGAAGGAAAGUUAUUAUACCUUAGAAACCUAACCUCAGAUCCUGUGUUCCCUGCCUUGUCUGAUGGAAGCUGUGGGAGCUGAGAGCAAUCUGUCCUGCCUGGCUAAAGGUGGCCCAGGAUGACGAAAAGCACCGCUGGCCCCUCACUUCCCACGUACCAUUCAGAGAUAACAUGUUGUUGACCUGACCCUCUUUUUCACACAUUUUCCAUUUUCUUGGUGAAUUAAUGUACUGAUAUUCUGCUUCCUCUGUCCAUUUUUCUGUCCAUUCAGUAGAUCUUCAUGAAGGGCCUCCUCUGUGCCCAGUGAGAGAAAGAGAGAAAUCUCAGACGACUCCCAGGUUUUGGCGGCUGAGUGAGCAGGACUGAACUCAGGACCUUGUGCUUGCAAGACAGGUGUGGUGCCACUGAAUUCCCCAGCCCUACAUUUAUGGCUCCCUGAAGAAGUGUUUGUUUCCCAAAUUACAGCAGAGGGCACUAGAGACUACAGCACAGCCAAGUUUGCCAGCACGUGAGCUUCCGCUGCCUCUUACUGCACUGGCCACAGUGUCCUUCACUACAGAUGUUGGCGUUCAAAGGACACAGACAUCUUAAUUUUGAAAACAUGAAACCCCUCCUCCCACACUCAUUCCGUUCGUGUAACACGGUACUGGGAAGGAGUACUGCUUCAGGGACCCCAUCUUCCACUCUGCAUGUAUGGCGCCAUUUCCAGUGCGCAUGUCUCCAUCAGCAUUGACACAUUUGUGCACAUAGAUGCGCAUGUACCAUUUUUUAAUCAACACCAGAAGGAAAAAAUGAUUAUGUAACAGCAAUCUCAGUCCUAUGGAGGGACCUGUC
ensembl:lncRNA